rnacentral:rRNA from 1 species
AUUGAACGCUGGCGGCAUGCUUUACACAUGCAAGUCGAACGGUAACAGGUUAAGCUGACGAGUGGCGAACGGGUGAGUAAUGCAUCGGAACGUGCCCGAUCGUGGGGGAUAACGCAGCGAAAGCUGCGCUAAUACCGCAUACGACCUGAGGAUGAAGGCGGGGGACCGUAAGGCCUCGCGCGAUCGGAGCGGCCGAUGUCAGAUUAGGUAGUUGGUGGGGUAAAGGCUCACCAAGCCAACGAUCUGUAGCUGGUCUGAGAGGACGACCAGCCACACUGGGACUGAGACACGGCCCAGACUCCUACGGGAGGCAGCAGUGGGGAAUUUUGGACAAUGGGCGAAAGCCUGAUCCAGCAAUGCCGCGUGCAGGAAGAAGGCCUUCGGGUUGUAAACUGCUUUUGUACGGAGCGAAAAGGCUCUCUCUAAUACAGGGGGCUCAUGACGGUACCGUAAGAAUAAGCACCGGCUAACUACGUGCCAGCAGCCGCGGUAA